UUGAAAGCUGGCUCCUUCGGAGUCCGCGUUGUAAUUUGUAGAGGAUGAUUCGGCAAGGGCUCCCGCCUAAGUCUCCUGGAACGGAGCGUCAUAGAGGGUGAGAAUCCCGUAUGCGGUGGGCUGCCUAAGCCAUGUGAAUCUCCUUCGACGAGUCGAGUUGUUUGGGAAUGCAGCUCUAAAUGGGAGGUAAAUUUCUUCUAAAGCUAAAUACCGGCCAGAGACCGAUAGCGCACAAGUAGAGUGAUCGAAAGAUGAAAAGCACUUUGGAAAGAGAGUUAAAAAGUACGUGAAAUUGUUGAAAGGGAAGCGCUUGCAGCCAGACUUGUCCGCAGUUGCUCAGCCGGUCUCCUGACCGGUGUAUUCUUCUGCGGCCAGGCCAGCAUCAGUUCGGGCGGUCGGAUAAAGACCUCGGGAACGUAGCUCCUCUCGGGGAGUGUUAUAGCCCGGGGUGGAAUGCGGCCAGCCUGGACUGAGGAACUCGCUUCGGCUAGGAUGCUGGCGUAAUGGCUGUAAGCGGCCCGUCUUGAAACACGGACCAAGGAGUCUAACAUCUAUGCGAGUGUUUGGGUGUCAAACCCAUGCGCGUAAUGAAAGUGAACGGAGGUGGGAACCCUCACGGGUGCACCAUCGACCGAUCCUGAUGUCUUCGGAUGGAUUUGAGUAAGAGCAUAGCUGUUGGGACCCGAAAGAUGGUGAACUAUGCCUGAAUAGGGUGAAGCCAGAGGAAACUCUGGUGG
rnacentral:rRNA from 1 species